rnacentral:rRNA from 1 species
GAUGAACGCUAGCGGCAGGCUUAAUACAUGCAAGUCGUGGGGCAGCAUGAGUAGCAAUACUUGAUGGCGACCGGCAAACGGGUGCGGAACACGUACACAACCUUCCUUCAAGCGGGGAAUAGCCCAGAGAAAUUUGGAUUAAUACCCCAUAAAAUAUAAAAAUGGCAAUCAUUUAUAUAUUAAAGCUUCGGCACUUGAUGAUGGGUGUGCGGCUGAUUAGAUAGUUGGCGAGGUAACGGCUCACCAAGUCUACGAUCAGUAGCUGAUGUGAGAGCAUGAUCAGCCACACGGGCACUGAGACACGGGCCCGACUCCUACGGGAGGCAGCAGAAGGAAUAUUGGACAAUGGACGAAAGUCUGAUCCAGCCAUGCCGCGUGAAGGAUUAAGGUCCUCUGGAUUGUAAACUUCUUUAUA